UUCCGGUUGAUCCUGCCRGACCCGACUGCUAUCAGAGUGAGACUAAGCCAUGCGAGUUAACGUAUGAAUAAUACGUGGCACACGGCUCGGUAACACGUAGUCAACAUGCCCAGAGGACGUGGAUAACCUCGGGAAACUGAGGAUAAACCGCGAUAGGCCAUAAUUACUGGAAUGGGUUAUGGCUUAAACCUAUAUGGCCUCUGGAUCGGACUGCGGCCGAUCAGGCAGUUGGUGAGGUAAUGGCCCACCAAACCUGUUACCGGUACGGGCUCUGAGAGGAGGAGCCCGGAGAUGGGCACUGAGACAAGGGCCCAGGCCCUAUGGGGCGCAGCAGGCGCGAAACCUCUGCAAUAGGCGAAAGCCUGACAGGGUUACUCUGAGUGAUUCCCGCUAAGGGGAUCUUUUGGCACCUCUAAAAAUGGUGCAGAAUAAGGGGUGGGCAAGUCUGGUGUCAGCCGCCGCGGUAAUACCAGCACCCCGAGUGGUCGGGACGAUUAUUGGGCCUAAAGCAUCCGUAGCCGGUCAUGCAAGUCCUCCGUUAAAUCCACCUGCUCAACAGAUGGGCUGCGGAGGAUACUACAAGGCUAGGAGGCGGAAGAGGCAAGCGGUACUCAGUGGGUAGGGGUAAAAUCCUCUGAUCCAUUGAAGACCACCAGUGGCGAAGGCGGCUUGCCAAUACGCGCUCGACGGUGAGGGAUGAAGGCUGGGGGAGCAAACCGGAUUAGAUACCCGGGUAGUCCCAGCUGUAAACGAUGCAGACUCGGUGAUGGGCCGGCUUUAUGCCGGCUCAGUGCCGCAGGGAAGCCGUUAAGUCUGCCGCCUGGGGAGUACGGUCGCAAGACUGAAACUUAAAGGAAUUGGCGGGGGAGCACCACAAGGGGUGAAGCCUGCGGUUCAAUUGGAUUCAACGCCGGA
rnacentral:rRNA from 1 species